AUGAUUGGCUGAGAUAAUGAGUGGGCUGGACAUGCCGAGAGAUGAGUUCGGAUAGGCCUUUCUACUGCAGUAUUUUUUAAAGAUAUAAUGUUAGCCAUGGAGAACUGCAAAUAUAUUGCUACUGCUCUCAAUAACAUUGCUGCCCUGAAUUUAUCAGGCGCUAUUGACAAAGGUGAGAAAAAGUUGUGAUGGACUUCUUUCUGAACGAGGAAUGCUGGCUCUCUCACUCUGAAAUUAACAUGUUUUGAAAUUAGUGGAACACAACGGGCCAAACAAGCUGUGCAAACUAAAUGGAAACAACACAGGAACUCUUAUAAAAGGGAUUGCAGUCUGCCAUGAAGCUUUCAUCCAUGUAUACAGCUUCAAUCAGUAGAACACACCUGACUCUAAGCCACCAGCCAUACAGUCAUCAAAAAGAGAGCUAGCAAGCAAAGGCAGCAGCGCAGUCAUCGACUACAAGCACCAUUUCUUCACCAACGACCGAGUUGAAAAAACAGCUGUGGACCUGAAUUGUGAUAACUGCAGUGGCCAAAACAAGAACAAGUUUGUGCUCUGGUAUUGUGCCUGGUGGACCACCAGAAUCUGGACCUUCACUUCCUGAUCACAGACCACACCAAGUUUGCCCCCGACUGGUGCUUCGGCCUCAUCAAGCAGUGCUUCAAAAAGAGUGAACACUGAGAUUGCUGGUGUUGUGAAGGACAGCACUGUGACAGGGGUCAACAUCCCACAGCUGGUUGGACUGGAGGAUGGAACAGUGCCGGUGGAAAGCCAUGGCUGGCAACAACACCUUACUCUGUACUCCAGGCCUCUGCCACAGAUCAAGCAGUAUCAGCACUUCAGGUAAAAAAAAUAAUUUUUAAAUCAUUGUAUGAGGUUACUCUUAUCUAAACCUGGGAGGUGAAUUGAUGUUGUGGAGGGUUGUAAUGUUUUCAGAUGUUUGUUGUUGUUGUUAUUCUCUGUUUUACAGCUUCGUUGCUCUGGAGCCUGGUGUUGUCGCCAAGGAGUGUUCGGACUGUUGGGACCAGGUUUCAGCUGCUGCGCAACGCUGACAUCCUUCCUCCCAUAGAUGGUCUGCCUGUAAAAGCACCACCUGGACUGGACACAGCUAGACAAACUCUAUUUUUGACAAGAUCAGGGAGUUUUGCGAUGAAGAGACUAUGGACAUCACAUGCCCUGUACCAAAGUCAAGGACAGGACAGAAGCAGGCUCCCUGCUUGGGAAUAUAGAUUCCCUUUGUUCAUGCGUGGUUUGUACGGACCAGACAUGAGCUCUAUCUGUAGUGCCUCUAUUCACAUGACUCUCUCCUAACACACACGCCAUAUGUUGCUGAUACUAUUGUUUACCCUGCUGCUCAGCCACUUUACCUCUGAUUGUAUGUAUUUAAUUACCUCGUCUGUCACUGAUAUUGAUAUUGUUUUUUUUACAUACUGUAUAUUUGAUCUAUAUUGACACUAUCUAUUUAUGAUAUUGCUACUAUGCAAGUAACCAUUUGGCUGUAUCAUUUACACCUUCUGUAGAGACCAUCCACUUAGCAAGACUUAGCAAAAUAUUGAUAUAUAAAAUCAAUAUUGAUGUGUGGUCGUAACAUGAUUUUAUGGCAUACCACAAUAAUAUCUUGUGACUGUAUCCAGUGUCCACCACAUAAAUAUAUGGAGCAUGCAUCAGUUUAUGUACUGUAAAAAAAACUCACUCAGGUUGUAAGGCCUUAAUUUAGGUAUGGAAUACUAUGUGAUAAGUGCGUGUGUAACAGUAUAUAAAGUAUGCUACUGUAGUGCUGUGAAGGUAUUUGGGCAGUGGUAUAAAGUACUUCUGUAAAAAUACUUUAAAGUAUUACUUAAGUAGUUUUUUGUGGUAUCUGUACAUUACUUUCCUAUUUAUACUUUCCUACCCUAUUGAACUUUUACUUCGCUACAUUCGUAAGGAAAAUAAUGUACUUUUUACUCCAUACAUUUUCAUUGACACCCAAAAGUACUUGUUACAUUUUGACAGGAAAAUUGUCCAAUUCACACACUAAUCAAGAGAGCAUCCCUGGUCAUCCCUGCGGCGUCUGAUCUGGCAGACUCACUAAACACAAAUGCUUUGUUUGUAAAUUAUGUCUGAGUGUUGGAGUGUGCCCCUGGCUCUCCGUCAAGAAAAAUUAUGAAAUUGUGCAAUCUGAUUUGCUUAAUAUAAGGAAUUUGAAAUGGUUUAUAUUUCAACUUUUACUUUUGAUACUUAAGUACAUUGUGCCCCUGGCUAUCCGUCAAAUAAUUUUUAAAAAAAUCGAAUUUUAAGCGUCAUCUAAUAUUUAUUAAAUAUUUGUAUCUGUUUACCUGGAAUGUUUCCUUAUUGUAGGCUACUACCACUUUUAGUCUUUUAGUCUGGCUUAAGAGGGUGGGAACAAUGCUGAAUGGGUGUAGACAAAGGAGAGCUCUCUAGUUGGUACCAAAACAUUCUAAAGCCCUUUUCUCAAAAGUGAGAUUACAAGUUAAUCAACUUUCAAAGCAGAAAUACUUUCCCAUUAUUCCUCAACUGUAGUGUAUGACAUUCCAUUUAGUAGCUCUGACUCUCUAUUUUUAUCCAACGUAAAAAAACAAAAAAAACAAUUCCAAAUGUUGCUACCUAAGACCGAAUCCAGGUGGUGAGUCACAUUUGUGUUCAGUAUAGAUACACCAAAGUGUCUAAAGGUUCCCUGGAGGGCUUCCUGAACACGUUCUUAGCCCCACUCGCCACAUCUGUAGGUCUGGCUCUCAAUCUAUUAAAAACAAGUGUUAUAAAGCCCAGCUGAAGGUCUACAACAACAAUGUUGGGUUUUUGUAAGAUCCAUUCAAAAAGUGGAGCAUCAGAAUGCUAGUGUGCUGUUUUAUCUUGGCUGUGGGAUGCAUAACUGACAAAGGAUAAAUCAAAUGGAGAAAAGGAAUAGCCACCAUUUUGCAAGACACAAAAAAAAUAUGUAGGGCAUUCUUCAUGGCAUUAUUAUUAGUUAGAAUUCUAACUUCUAGAAAUACAGCCAAUACUAUUAUGACCGCUCCAUACACAUCCAAUACUAAUUUGACUGCUCCAUACAGUAUAUAAAUCAAUUCGCCACAGACACAACUCUGGCUGUUGUUGUGUGGUCAGUAAAGCUGGCCCUCAAGUAUUUCACAGGCCAGUGUUGGUCCACACUGUCCACACACAGCCCUGGUGUGAGUCUGGAUGUUCCUAAAUACAUCAGGCAUGGCUACAGGGGCCUGUCCUUACAUCCACACCUCACCACCAGGGGCUAUUUCUGGGACAGCAGGAAUCCUCUUUACUCUCAUACUAACACGUUUUCCGCCAACUUUACAAUUUCGUCAACCUUUUCCGCUUUUUCCUUAUAUCUGAACGUUUUUGCCAGUAUCAAAGCUGAAACGGUUAUUUCCGCCUGCCGACCUACAGUGGUUCUUCCUUUAAAAGUUACAAGCUUAUGCUGCGACCGUUAGUGGUAUGGUAUGGUUCCCAAUCGUUGUCUCUGAUUGGGGAUCAUAUUUAGGCAGCCUUUUCCCACUGAGUUUUUGUGGGAUCUUGUUUUUGUGUAGUGCAUGUGAGCACUGCAUUGACUUCACGUUUCGUUUGUUCUGUAUUGUUUUGGUGAGUUUAAUUUAUUAAACAUGUGGAACUCUA